CUUACGCAAGUCAGGACACACACACACCUGGAGUCCAGCUCUAAGCUGGAUCCAGGCUCUAGCCAGGGCUUGACUGCAGUCUGCCCAAUAGAGAAGGG
rnacentral:pre_miRNA from 14 species